CCUACGGGGGGCAGCAGUGGGGAAUAUUGGGCAAUGGGCGCAAGCCUGACCCAGCAACGCCGCGUGAAGGAAGAAGGCUCUCGGGUUGUAAACUUCCUUUAUCAGGGACGAAGCAAGUGACGGUACCUGAUGAAUAAGCCACGGCUAACUACGUGCCAGCAGCCGCGGUCAUACGUAGGUGGCAAGCGUUAUCGGGAUUUACUGGGUGUAAAGGGCGUGUAGGCGGGAGUGCAAGUCAGAUGUGAAAACUAUGGGUGCAACCCAUAGCCUGCAUUUGACACCGUACUUCUUGAGUAACGGAGAGGCAAUCGGAAUGCGGGGUGUAGCGGGGAAAUGCGUAGAUAUACCGAGGAACACCAAUGGCGAAGGCGGAUUGCUGGACAGGAACUGACGCUGAGGCGCGAAAGCGUGGGGAGCAAACAGGAUUAGAUACCCUUGUAGUC
rnacentral:rRNA from 1 species